rnacentral:ribozyme from 1 species
AAAAGAUGAAGAAGAUGAAGAAGAUGAAGAUGAUUGCUUCUCAAUCUCGUUGUCUUUUUCUUCUUUUUUUUUUUUUUCUUUCUUUC